UACGUAGGGUGCAAGCGUUGUCCGGAAUUAUUGGGCGUAAAGAGCUUGUAGGCGGUUUGUCGCGUCUGCUGUGAAAUUUCGGGGCUCAACCCCCGAACUUGCAGUGGGUACGGGCAGACUAGAGUGUGGUAGGGGGAGACUGGAAUUCCUGGUGUAGCGGUGAAAUGCGCAGAUAUCAGGAGGAACACCGAUGGCGAAGGCAGGUCUCUGGGCCGAUACUGACGCUGAGGAGCGAAAGCGUGGGGAGCGAACAGG
rnacentral:rRNA from 1 species